rnacentral:RNase_P_RNA from 1 species
CGGGGCAAUCGCGCGAUAUUAUGCCGAAAGGUCGUAUCGUGAGGAAAGUCCGGGCCUCACAGGGCAGGAUAACGGAUAACGUCCGCCGAGGGCGACCUCCGGGAAAGUGCAACAGAAAGAAACCGCCGUCCGCGUGACGGUAAGGAUGGAAAGGCGAGGUAAGAGCUCACCCGUUUCUAUGGCAACAUAGAUCCGCUGUAAACCCUAUCCGAAGCAACACCCGAUGUUUGCCGCGUAAGCGGCAGCGGUUGCCCGCCGCAAUACAUCCGGUGGCAGAGCGAAAGCUCGAACCGCGGAGUAAUCCGCGGUGAAGAUAGAUGAUUGCCGCGUCGCAAGACGUACAGAACCCGGCUUACAAGUUCGGU